GACGAACGCUGGCGGCGUGCUUAACACAUGCAAGUCGAACGGAAAGGCCCUGCUUUUGUGGGGUGCUCGAGUGGCGAACGGGUGAGUAACACGUGAGUAACCUGCCCUUGACUUUGGGAUAACUUCAGGAAACUGGGGCUAAUACCGGAUAGGAGCUCCUGCUGCAUGGUGGGGGUUGGAAAGUUUCGGCGGUUGGGGAUGGACUCGCGGCUUAUCAGCUUGUUGGUGGGGUUGUGGUUUACCAAGGCUUUGACGGGUAGCCGGCCUGGGAGGGUGACCGGCCACAGUGGGACUGAGAUACGGCCCAGACUCCUACGGGAGGCAGCAGUGGGGAAUAUUGCACAAUGGGCGGAAGCCUGAUGCAGCAACGCCGCGUGCGGGAUGACGGCCUUCGGGUUGUAAACCGCUUGCGCCUGUGACGAAGCGUUAGUGACGGUAAUGGGUAAAGAAGCACCGGCUAACUACGUG
rnacentral:rRNA from 1 species